rnacentral:rRNA from 1 species
AUACGUAGGUGACAAGCGUUAUCCGGAUUUACUGGGCGUAAAGGGCGUGUAGGCGGUCUUGCAAGUCAGAAGUGAAAUUCCUGAGCUCAACUCGGGCGCUGCUUCUGAAACUGCAGGACUUGAGUGCUGGAGGGGAUAGCGGAAUUCCUAGUGGAGCGGUAAAAUGCGCAGAUAUUAGGAAGAACACCGGUGGCGAAGGCGGCUAUCUGGACAGUAACUGACGCUGAGGCGCGAAAGCGUGGGGAGCAAACAGGAUUAGAUACCCUGGUAGUCCACACUGUAAACGAUGAAUGCUAGGUGUAGGGGGUAUCGACCCCUUCUGUGCCGCAGUCAACACAAUAAGCAUUCCGCCUGGGGAGUACGGCCGCAAGGUUGAAAUUCAAAGGAAUUGACGGGG